rnacentral:rRNA from 1 species
CCUACGGGGGACUGCAGUGAGGAAUAUUGGUCAAUGGACGAGAGUCUGAACCAGCCAAGUAGCGUGAAGGAUGACUGCCCUAUGGGUUGUAAACUUCUUUUAUAUGGGAAUAAAAUGUUCCACGUGUGGGAUUUUGUAUGUACCAUAUGAAUAAGGAUCGGCUAACUCCGUGCCAGCAGCCGCGGUAAUACGGAGGAUCCGAGCGUUAUCCGGAUUUAUUGGGAUUAAAGGGAGCGUAGGUGGAUUGUUAAGUCAGUUGUGAAAGUUUGCGGCUCAACCGUAAAAUUGCAGUUGAAACUGGCAGUCUUGAGUACAGUAGAGGUGGGCGGAAUUCGUGGUGUAGCGGUGAAAUGCUUAGAUAUCACGAAGAACUCCGAUUGCGAAGGCAGUUCACUGGACUGCAACUGACACUGAGGCUCGAAAGUGUGGGUAUCAAACAGGAUUAGAUACCCUUGUAGUC